UCAGAAAAUAAAUAGUAAUCGAUAUGGUAUAUUAUAUGCAUAGACGCACAGUUAAAAUAUCACGUCCGCGCUCGGUAAAAAUCGUGUAACACGAAAGGCUAGGGCUUGAGACCUGCGUAUGGCUAACAUGACUCGGCUGUUUCUUUUGGCAACCGCAGUAGGUUCAGUAGAAAGAUAUAAGGUUAUAUGUUAUAUAGAAUCUAAAUCCAAAGUUUGAUUGUACAUAUUUUCGCAUAUUUUAAUAUUUUUUCUCAUUAGCAGAAUGCAGCUUUUAAGUGCUAUAACAGGCCAUUUAUUAAACGUGUAAAGCAUAUUUUAGUGUACAUUUGGUUGUUUUUUAAAACACAUUUUUAUAACUUUUAGAGCUAGAAGUCUCGAAGCCUACUAAUAAC